rnacentral:rRNA from 1 species
GACGGAGGGUGCAAACGUUGCUCGGAAUCACUGGGCAUAAAGCGCACGUAGGCGGUUACCUAAGUUGGAUGUGAAAUCCCGUGGCUCAACCAUGGAACUGCAUCCGAUACUGGGCGACUCGAGGAAGGUUGGGGUGAGUGGAACUCCAGGUGGAGCGGUGAAAUGCGUAGAUAUCUGGAGGAACACCGGUGGCGAAAGCGGCUCACUGGACCUUUACUGACGCUGAGGUGCGAAAGCUAGGGGAGCAAACGGG